GGUUAUAUUGAAGGCCAGUGAUUGUGGGGGAACUGCCAGAGCUGAACCAGUGACUCUGUGGUUAUGGAGCGUGGCCACCACCUGUGCCAUGACCUCUUGGCAGUUGAAGCCUGCAGCAGUAGGCCUACACUAAGAAAGAAGGGCCACGUGAUCAUGUACAUCUGACCCCAGGACCAACCUGCUAUGACCAAUGAGGACUUAAACAGUCAUUUUAUACCCCUGUAGAAAUACUGACUCAUUUUCAUAUCAUCUUUAUCAUAUGUGGCCUUUCUAGGGAGUUUUUCCUAGCCACCGUGCUUCUACACCUGCAUUGCUUGCUGUUUGGGGUUUUAGGCUGGGUUUCUGUACAGCACUUUGAGAUAUCAGCUGAUGUACGAAGGGCUAUAUAAAUACAUUUGAUUUGAUGUAUAAGGACAUAUGUUUUACAUCAGUCGACAUGACAUGGACCUCAGUUGUCCAAAACACUCAAAAUAAAAGACACACAGACACAAUGCAGCUUUCAAGAUUGCUUUAAGAUAUAGAUAUAUUUUCAGAUCUGAGUUCAUGUCAAAAAUACACAUUAUGAUUUACAGAGUUUUGCACUAGAUCAUAAUGCUGAGGAUGAUAGAUGUCACAUAAGCAGUAACUGAAAUAUUCAUUUAAAUAUUAAAUAACUGACGGUAAACAAAGAAAAUGAUGUAAACACUAAAGCUACAUGUUACUCUCUAUUGCAACACUUUAAAGAUUUGUUUUUGUAACAGUA